rnacentral:rRNA from 1 species
AGAGUUUGAUCCUGGCUCAGGACGAACGCUGGCGGCGUGCCUAAUACAUGCAAGUCGAGCGAGCUUGCCUAGAUGAUUUUGGUGCUUGCACUAAAUGAAACUAGAUACAAGCGAGCGGCGGACGGGUGAGUAACACGUGGGUAACCUGCCCAAGAGACUGGGAUAACACCUGGAAACAGAUGCUAAUACCGGAUAACAACACUAGACGCAUGUCUAGAGUUUGAAAGAUGGUUCUGCUAUCACUCUUGGAUGGACCUGCGGUGCAUUAGCUAGUUGGUAAGGUAACGGCUUACCAAGGCAAUGAUGCAUAGCCGAGUUGAGAGACUGAUCGGCCACAUUGGGACUGAGACACGGCCCAAACUCCUACGGGAGGCAGCAGUAGGGAAUCUUCCACAAUGGACGAAAGUCUGAUGGAGCAACGCCGCGUGAGUGAAGAAGGGUUUCGGCUCGUAAAGCUCUGUUGGUAGUGAAGAAAGAUAGAGGUAGUAACUGGCCUUUAUUUGACGGUAAUUACUUAGAAAGUCACGGCUAACUACGUGCCAGCAGUCGCGGUAAUACGUAGGUGGCAAGCGUUGUCCGGAUUUAUUGGGCGUAAAGCGAGUGCAGGCGGUUCAAUAAGUCUGAUGUGAAAGCCUUCGGCUCAACCGGAGAAUUGCAUCAGAAACUGUUGAACUUGAGUGCAGAAGAGGAGAGUGGAACUCCAUGUGUAGCGGUGGAAUGCGUAGAUAUAUGGAAGAACACCAGUGGCGAAGGCGGCUCUCUGGUCUGCAACUGACGCUGAGGCUCGAAAGCAUGGGUAGCGAACAGGAUUAGAUACCCUGGUAGUCCAUGCCGUAAACGAUGAGUGCUAAGUGUUGGGAGGUUUCCGCCUCUCAGUGCUGCAGCU